ACUACCGGAUAUGUUGUGCCGAUGUUUCCCGAGUGUUGCCGAAGGGACUGGAGGCGUGAGUGUUGUAGAAUGGCGAUGUGGUCAAUAAAAAGAAAUUUGGAAAUUACUUCUUGCCGUCUGGUGAAGCCACUGACACAAAAUACGACAUCCGCUUUUUAUUUAUGGCCGCUUCCUUGUUCCCUAGUCAGGUCGCUUCUUGAUUGACUAAAUUCUGUUUCACGUCACAAUUCAUAGAGUCGUGACUUGGGAGUAGUCGGCUUUCUCCACAUCACAUGAAGAGUUUUGGUCGUCAAUAUUGAGCGUUUAAUAUUUUCGAUUGUUGGCCGCGACGCAUUUCCGACCCUAUUACCGCGACAAAUUCACUCUUAACACACCUCAGACCCCAAGAUCUGGCGUUUGUCGUCCUUGGUCAGAAAAUCCGGACAAAAAGAGCCCGAUUAUUUUGAUGCGUUGCCGACCUCAGCUUACGAGAUCGGGCGAGUAGCGUGGCUGCUCUCUCUGAACUAGAGAUGAUCUAAGUUUUUUGUGCGGCACACCCACUGGGCUUGGGGGAAUGCGUCUGACAUGACGCUGAGGCGGGCUGCAAAACAGCAGGAUGCGAUUAAUGACCACAGGAUGAGAUUGCUACAAUAUGGCUUCCCCCCAAGCUGUCAUAUUUCAUGGGAUUGUGUGUAUAUGUGUUUCCCUUUCAUCCUUGCUUCUUCCUCUUCUUCCAAUCCCUCCCUUGUAUUCCGCAUUGGUCUCAUUUCUCAAUCUUGCAGUCUUUUGUCAUGCUUAUUGACGAAUACUUUGACGCAACCUGCAACACCGCGGUCUCGCAACAAAAUGAGAACCUUAAAUGGUUUCAGGGAGGACAAAUGUGGAGGCCAAAUGGCGCCGGAUUGUUGCGGUGGGAGACUGACGCUCGGCACUUCGGGGUCAGCGCCGGAAACGCUCCAAAGGGCCGCAAGAGCGAGGGACGGCGAGGCCACGAGGAAGGACAGGCAACCCUUAACAAGGCUAUCAACGAUGAAGAUCGAAACCAUUCCGAAAACAACGGGGUCCUCGGAGAUUGUCGCCCAGGGCGGCUGGCCAUGUCGCCCGUAUCGGAAACGGCCGCAGUCAAUUUCUGAACAUCACUCUCUGGGACGUUUGAGCAGGCAAUGAAGCCAAUUUCAUGGACGCCGCAAUCUCAGAAAUAAAAGUUGCCCCAGUGUUGCACUGAUGAAUCAAGAUAAGUGCUGAUGUAGUCAUCUUCAAAAUAAGCCAUUUCUCAAUUCAUUUCUAAUAUAAGGUACCCAAAUGGAGUUAGCCCGCUUUAGUAGUCAGUGGCUCAGCUGUGUACCUACUUUUUGCACUCCCCGGUUCACAUUAAUAAAAAAUGAUUUACUCUCAAUUAGAUCUCAUUAGGUAUUGUCCAUUGAUUGUUGCACAAUCACUGUAUCUUGAUAUCAUCGAUAUCGUCAAAAAAAUGUAUAGUUACUCGAUAUCUUCCCCUCCUCGAACUCAAUUUAAAUGAUUAAAAGUACAAAAUAAAUCCCCCGAGCUAUGUUCUCUGGAUUGCUGCUGUUGUUUUUUUUUUUGUUUUUUUUUUAACCAAAGUCAAACAAGCUUCUCACAUUUGCCCUUUUGUAUUUUCUCUAGGUAAAAAUAAUUGGUUGAUCACUUGAUCCAUUAUUCAUCCUGUAAGGGAAAUUAAAUUGUCAUUACAGUAGAGAAAGACCACCCAUCGGGCUCGGAGGGGGCAGACGUCUCCGCGGAAUAAUAAUGGGUCGUCCUGGGAAAAUUGCCCAUGGAAAGGCCCGUCUGGAGAAAAAAAGAAAAGAAAGAUUUGGUCUCGUUUCCGAUCCCCUCUUGGAAACAUUCAUCAAGUGUCCUCCCGCUGUUUGGUCGGGAAGCACGCGGUCCUGACGAGGGGCCCUGAAUCUGCUCACCGACUUGUUGUCCAAUACGGGAAAACAGAAGCACACUUACGCCAAGUAUAAGGCAGUAAAUGAAAACGCAAAAAUAGAAAAGGAGGUCAGCUAAAUCUAUCUACGUAAUCUACAGUAUCUAUCCUUUCAGUAGCUUGUUUGCUAACAGCUAAAGCUAGCAAAGGUAUAGCUUGUGAAAUAACGGACUAUCUAAAAUUAGCUAGCUAGCUGCCUUGCUAAUGCCAAGCUACAGCACAUGAUGUAACAGCUGUAUCUCCUGUAAUAAACAAUUGUUUGUUGCUUUUUUUUUAAAUGGAAAAAAAAAACCUACAGUACUUUAUUUACUUUUAUCGCAGUAAAAUGUUAGAAUUUUUUAUUCAA